GUGUGUUUCCAACGGAGAGAUGUUUAGCAUCUCCCUGGAUAAGGACGAGCAUAAGGCUUUGCAUACCUCUUUGUAUGCUUAUGGCAACGGCUACGGCCACCUGAUUUUUUU
rnacentral:ncRNA from 1 species